UCCUGAUGAAUAGAAACACAGAGGAAAAGAGAGCUGCGACACUUAGCACUUUCCAUCUUUCUUCGCAAGAAAUGCAGCAAUCUCAACUGCGUCACAGGGAUCAGUGAGGCUAAAGGCAGGCAAAUAUACUAUGGAAGAUAAGGAUCAAAAGACAGAAAAGAAAAACGGCAGAAAAGAGAAAGAAAAGGCCAGGCGGAACAGACACUUACCAGGAAAAAUCCCAUUGAGAGCAACCUUCUGCAUCAGAGAUCGUUUGAUCCAUCUUUUUUUACGCUCCAAAGAAUUAAACCUCUCAAGCUCACCCUACAACACGAGAAAAAUUAAUGUCAUACAAUCCAUGAUUGAAUGCAAGAACGAGAUAAAGAAAUCCAAAAAUUAAUCCCACCAUCGAAUAGAGAGUGUGACAUGGUCUAAUUCAGUAAAAAUAAGCCUCCUAUCUAAUUAAUAAAACCGUGGACAGAGAAUGAUAAAAACAGAGUGAAAUUCGGAAUAAUGUGAUAUGAUCUUCUUCAAGAGGAUCGAAUCUGAGGGGAUGAGAAGAAAACUAGUAGUAUAGAUUGUUGUAAAUGUCUGACGAGAUAGAAUGUCGGAAUGAUGAUUCUAUCACCGUACAAGAAAUAGAAAAGAGAAAACAGGGGGUGGGAAAUGCGUUCGAGAGGAUCUCCCGGCCUCUCCUAAUGCAGACUUCUUUCCGUGCCCCUUAUGUUCCUCCGAGGUCUAUAUUUAUAGCACUCAGUCAGUCUCAUCUGAGACUUCCAAUCUGUGGAAGUCUCCUGAAGCUUCUCCCAUGUUCUGUGCAUAUGUCUCCUUCUGCCAUGUACACUUUAUUAAUGGGGUCGUAACAUAAUCAUCAUAAAUAACAAUGUGCAAUCAAAAGCAUAUGAACAGACACACUCUGACUAAUAUGAGAUUAUAUUGCUUCAAUAAGAAAAACUUUCAAACCCAGCUCUCCAAUAGUUGAUCUCUUUAGAGUCCAUAAGAACACUGAACCAUUCAAUGAAAAAACUAUUUCCUCAUCAAUAAAUGAUUUACAUCAAAAAAGUUCAAGCAACAAAGGCAUUCCUAUUGUCACGAGCGCAAGUUGGACGAAUAUCUGCCAUUAUAACCCAGCAGAUGGACACAAAAGAUUAAAGAACCAGUCAGAGGAGAGAAAAUAAUAGAGACUAAAAGAAACAAAAAAUCAUGAAACGCAAGAACCUUCCUGAUUGUCUCGAUGAUUGAUUCUACUCCAAGUUUGCUUCCAACAUUCACCUCCUCAAGUUUGGAGCCAAUUUAUGACAAGAUCCGAACUCACUCAGUAAUUGCUCCUCCUUUCGGACUAUUUAGCAUACGGGGGUGAUCUAUGACUAUUUGGCAUUCAAAAUUGAACUGGGCAUUUUAAUAAAGAAUGAAAUGGAAGUGUCUGACACUAUAAAGACAACUUUCCCAGGAAAAAAAGUUAAUUUUAGGAAAGGAUCGACAUGCUGUUCAAAUCUGCGGUUCAACAUUCCGAACUCACUCAAUAAUUGCUCCUCCUUUCGGACUCCUCAACUCCGUGACACCUUUAUAGUGUUCCUCCAUAUGCUAUUACAGAUAUCCACACGGCACAUGCUAAAUAUAUUUUUCACCUAAAAGGCUGAAAGGGUGGGCAAGUUUUUUGACUCAAAAGAAGAUCCUAAUCUCGUGAUCUCACCCAUGAGAAAACAGUGAACAAAGUACGACCGUAUCACCGUACGUAUCACUUCAAGCAUGGUUAAAUAUUGGUGUCAUCUACAAUCAUAAUAAAUAAAAUGAAUGCAUAAAAAAUCAAAAUAAAUCCAGAGAAAUCAUCAAUACAAAUCUUGCUUCAUAGUUAAUGUUUAAACUCUUCUUCAUUUAUAUUUUUUUUCAAGUAACAAGCGUUUCUCGUCAAAAUACUGUUUGGACUUAAAUAACACGCAUAUUCAUUUAUAAUCCAGUAAUAGUCAUUCUGACAGGUCAAAGCAUUAUUGUCACAGCCAGGCAUUGUCAUUGUGAGGGAUCCGUUUCUGUACAGAAACAUGCGAAACCACAUUAGCUUAUGAGGAUUUCACAGUCACUUCCUACGAGUACUGCCCAUUUCCAAAAGUGGUGCUUCACAACAAGAGGGGUUUAUAUCCAUCCAGAGGAGGCUCUUUAGCAUCAUCGAUAUCCUUUGAUUAUUUAUUUAUUCACUCUUGUGCACAUAUUAAACAUAAAUUUCCAAAAUCAUUUGACCCAUCGUCUCAUCAUUACAUAUGCAUUGAGUAGGCCAUCAUGAAAACUAAACUUGAAUAGCAAGUAUGAGUCCACGAAUUUCUGCAUUGGAAUAAUGCAAGUUUUAUCAUUUAAAAACAGGCAUUAACCGACGGUUAUUUCAAUUCAUGGUCCCACUGCGGUAUUUAAAAGAAUCAAUAUCCAGUUUACGUCAACAUCUAAGUCACCCCAAUUAUACAUCUCAUUAUCAGGAUACACUGAGAGGCCCAUGCACAGACUUGCUGGGAGUUUUUCCCAAACGUACAUGAAACCAGGGCCUACAAUUCACUCAACCUGGCUGAACCUGUGAACAACAGUUUUUCCCAGUUUUGGGAGCUGAGCCGACCACUCCAUGUCUCCAUAAUAGCUCUACCCAGGGGAUCACCGAAGGUCCCCGAGCAUAGGGUUUAGGAAUCCUUAUCCCGGGGAUGGCCCAGGGGCAUCGAUCCGCCCCACUUGCCGCUCCAUAGCGGCCUGGUACAGGACCCGCGCUAAAACCGCUCAACAGUGGCCGCUGGAAAAGCAAGAAUAGAAGACAGGGAGCAUACCUUCGAGGCGUCGGCCUCCAGGCAACGGCUCUGCGCCCUCGGCGCCACCAAGCGACUCUGCAAGCAGCUCUCUCUCUCUCUCUCUCUCUCUCUC
rnacentral:lncRNA from 1 species